rnacentral:misc_RNA from 1 species
AAAGUCGUAACAAGGUUUCCGUAGGUGAACCUGCGGAAGGAUCAUUACAAAUCCUGUCUUUUCAGACAUGUUGAAAUGUUGAAGAGUGUGUGGGGAAAUACAGAGGGUAGAGGAGAGGCGGUAAGGAAGGUGAAAUAUCACUUUUCUCUCUUCUCUCUUCUCUCUUUCUAUUCUCUCCCUCUUCUACUUAUUUACUAUCUAUCAUUGUUGAUCAAAUGGACAUUAUUUAACAUAUAUUACACAACUUAUAACAAUGGAUCUCUAGGCUCUU